GACGUUACCUGGCAGGGAGAUACUAUGAUUACAAAGGUGGUUUUCCUAGGGCAAGGCUUAUCCAUUGUACCCUGGAUGUGCUGACCCCUGCGACUUCCCCAAAUGCGGGGACUUCAUAAUUUGAGGUAGUGGGGGAUCAUGUUCAUGCUCUCCCU
rnacentral:snRNA from 1 species